UACGAAGGGAGCUAGCGUUACUCGGAAUUAUUGGGCGUAAAGCGUGCGUAGGCGGCUCUGUAAGUCAGAAGUGAAAGCCUGAGGCUCAACCUCAGAAUUGCUUUUGAAACUACAGAGCUAGAGUAUCAGAGGGGAUAGCGGAAUUCCUAGUGUAGAAGUGAAAUUCGUAGAUAUUAGGAGGAACACCGGUGGCGAAGGCGGCUAUCUGGCCGAAUACUGACGCUGUUGCACGAAAGCGUGGGGAGCAAACAGG
rnacentral:rRNA from 1 species